UAUGUAACAUCUGAAAGACAGUCUUUGAAAGAGGCCGCUGAACCUCCACAGAUUUCCUCCUUUGUACAGGAGGGACAGGGCCCAAUUCUUGACCAGAUCUGGUACACAGAGAGCUUGCUAUGAGGCAAUCCUUGCACAUGGACAGCUGCAGCCAUCCAGCUGUCCACUGACAGGAUCUGGCUUGAUACAGGCCUAGGACUUAGUAACAAAUGGGCUAAGCUGAGAGCCACCUAGACGAUCCUCCUCUAUGAGCCGGACCCAAUAGUCUUGUGUACCAACAGCUGGGCCAUCUUUAAGGGACUUGCUAUGUGGCUACCACAAGGAGAAGCUCAGGAUUGGACAGUAGCAGGCUGCCUGCUUUGGGGUGCUGGCAUGUGGAAGGACAUUCUCUGUCACAUCCAGGGAAUGCAUGUAACAGUCUUCCAUGUGGAUGCCCACACUGCAUCUACGCCAUCUGGAAAUCAACAUGAGAACAAGCUAGCCUGCAUUCAUCUCUUCAAGGUAGUCCCCACAGACGUGGCCCACUGGCUGCCCAAAAAGACAGGACUUUGGGGACAGCAUUCCCUUUGGGCCACAGUGAAGAAUUAGGGCCUGCCACUAUGACAUAAAGACAUAGUACACCUCUGUCAGCAAUGUCCUACCCAUGCACAGGAAUGCCCUAGGCCCUUGCCACACAAUACUGGAGAGAUCCCCUGGGGCCAGAGUCCAGUACAAUGGUGGCAGGUAGACUACAUAGGGCAUUUGUUUCUAUCUAAUGGCUGCUACUAUACCUUGACUUAUGUGGACACCUGCACAGGGCUACCACAGUCAUAUCCCAGCAAGCAUGCUACCCAGAAAACUAUCAUAAAAGGACUAGAGUGGCUGUGUGUGGCCUAUGGUGUCCCCACCAAUAUCAAUAGUGACCAGGGCUUGCACUUUACCAGACAUAAAGUGUAGGAAUGGGUGGAGGCCCUGGAUAUCCACUGACAUUUCCACCUGCUGUACAUCCCUGCAGCCGUGGGGCUGAUUUAAAGGAUGAAUGGACUGUUGAAGCAACAACUCCAGCAGGAGACGCACUCUGGCUCUGUGGACACACCAUUUACCAGCAGUUGUCUGCACCCUGAAUGAACAUGGCGUUCUCAUCACCAGUGCCUAUGUCCUUCCGAUGCAAGAACGUGAUACCACUCUCAGGAUCCAGGUGGACAAGAUGGUGUGCAGCAGACCCUCUUUACCAACUGGGCACAGAUGGUGGCCUCUCUCCAGAACAAAACAGACUGUUGGGCCUGUGAAGAGCUGCCCCUCUCCUCCAUCAUAAGCCUGCUGUGGUGAAUCCAAAAUUAACUCCCAAGUUGGAUUAUUUUUUGUUUUAGUUUGCAUUGCUGCUGCAGCAGUCUGGCAGCGAUGCUUCUCCACAUUACCUGGCCCCAGGGAAAUCAUGGAAGAAUAGCGUGAUAAAAAUGUGAGAGCUGUUCCAGGGUAGCUGGGGUGGACUGUAUGGUAGAAGCACCUGAUAGCAGUACCUUAACUUAGCCAUAACCUGAGAAUGGCCCUGUAUGGCAGAGGCACCUGAAUGUGUGUUCAGAGUUCCAAGCUGAGGAAUCCAGGAGUGGCCAACCCAGGCAUUCAUUCCUUAUCUAUGAGGAACAUCUGAGCCCCUGGCCUGUCUAGUGAAACACAGGCCAUACAGGGGAUUGAGGCCCUUUGUUUUGGGUUAAGUGAAGGUUGCCAGGUGAAGAUGGUUAGGGGGAGGGUGCUUAGUGAAAAUGCUAUAUAAACUACAUGCUUUUUGCAAGUGGUUACAGUUCUCCUGCCCAGCCUGCUGCCUCUGGGCCGUAUGGUUCUCCAGCCCAGCACCCCCUCACUGGGCUGUGUGGUUCUCCUGUCCAGCCUGCCGCCACUGGCCCUCCCUCUUUGUAGGUUUCCUGCUAAUAAAGCCCUAUGUCCUGUU